GCGUGGAUAUUUAUCCGUGGCAUUCACUCUUCUUUAUCCACGGCAACGAGAGGAAGAGUAGUAGCCUACCGCGAGCAAAACCCACAACACUGAGACCGGAAUGGUUUGAUUUUCAUCAGCUCGAUUCUAUCUGCUGGACAUGGCAGAAAUGAUCAACAACCUCAUCAUGCUUUGAUGCGAAAAUUUUCUCGCGUUCUCUCAGGAGACCCUUAACUUCCAGACAAGACAGCAAUAGACAUGCACAGGUUGUUGCACACAGACUGCCACGAAAAUUUAAACAUUUCCACUAUUCAACAGCAGCUGGUGCAAGAAAUCAAGACAAAUAAAUACCCAACCAAAAACUCAAGUCGUAAAACAAGCGGGAAACGUCAUCUUAUGAAUGGUCGGGUAAGCAGCCGCCGUAAAUUGGCAGUUUGUUGGGGAGAAGAACGUCAAGGAAAGUUUUGCUAGCUGGCUAAUUUUAGCUAGCUAGCUAACGUUAGCUCUCUGGCUAAUCCUCCAUGGACAUGGGAAAAGAGAGCAGAACCAGUCCUUCUUAAAUCCAUAGUCAUUGACAGUAAGUUGUGAGAUGUUUUGUUUUCUCUUUAAUAAUAUGUAUUGAUUCCUACUAAACAGCUUGGUUAGAGCUAGGUUUGUACUAUGCUGAUUAUGAUUAGUAUUUUCUCUGCAUCAGGUCUCACUGAGACUGUAUUCCCCAAAAGACAUGCUAUUCCGCUCCCCAUGAUUGCUUGAUCUUAGUGUAAGUAGAUCCAAUUGAAAUAGCACCGCUUCUAAUAAUACAAGUUUGUAAAGCAAAUAACAUCCUAUUUUAACUCUCUUUUUUAGACCUUCCUUGGUGAGCCACGUAAAGUUUCUCCCCUUUCUCUUGCUCAUUCUCCCCGUCGCUCACUCAAACAUGUUGCAGAGAUGUGGAAGAGAUUUGCGAAUUACAUCUAAUUAGCAAUGUUUGCCGCAGGAAUGAUAGGACAGACACACAACUUCUGAAAAAUAUAAUAUUUUAUUGUCUCCAUUUGUCUCUUUACAUAUACUUACAUUUUUGUAUUUACCUUCCUUUUUGUAAGACUGCCAAGCUGUCCUGGAUUGGGGGAACUGUCCGGGAUAAUGUCCUCGGGAUUAUAGAGUGGUGUGUUUAUAAAAAGUUGUUGUAAUAUUAAAACAUGUAUUAGGAUUAAGCAACACUCUACCUUAUUUAGCGUCAAUUUAAACAAUGUAAUGAUCCAACUACUGUCUAAUUUUAAAAUGUUUCAGAUUGAUGACCAAUGAAUUAAUGUCCCACUUCAAUAUGAAGGGACAGAGGAGCAAACAUGCCUUGCUACCACUCACGUGUGCUCCAUUGUAAUUGGUAAAUAAAUGUGAGCAGUUGAGACAUUUGACAUAGACAAUGCAACAUUUUAAAUAUAUUUUAUUGUGCGUUACUGUUGUCGUAUCCUGCAUGCCCACAUUAUGCCAAUCUGUAAUUCAAUCUCUUUUUAUGCUUACAUUAAGUGUCAUGAAAAGCCAGAAAACUUGGGAGGUUGAUGUGUUGCGGGCCGUCGGUAAAGUCCUAAAAUGUGCACCUGACCGCUGUGGUGGAGGAGGACCUAAAAUCUGACCCAUCACACCACUCUUCAAAAGGGCCAUUGCGCUCCAGAUCACCUUCUUUGCUCAGAGGUCCUUGAUGAGGAUCUUCCCCACCACACCAAUCUUAAUAAUCAUCAAUAAUAAAAAGCAAUACGCCUUCAUAUACUCUGCCCCAGUCUUUCUAUGCAUGUAAUGUCUGUGGGUAAAUUAUGAAAUAAUUACUGUAUGCAGAUGUGCAUAGAAUUGUUUGAUUUAUUUUAAAUGUGAGAAUGUUUUGCAGAUUGAAACUAAUUGGUGACUAUGGAAACAAAUAAAUGUAAUGAACAAUGUUUUCAAUAUCCAACUUUAUCCCCUGCAAUACUUUUUACAGUAGGUAAUAAGCUGUAGUCAGGUGGUCAUUACCAGGUUAUGAUGAAGUCUUAACUAUGAACAGUACAUUAUACCGGUAGCAAAUAAUAUAGUGGUCAGAAUUAUCAUCAGCUGGUCGUACGGUGGUCAGAAAAAUACGUAGUAUUCUGGUCAUAAAACAUGUUUGCGACCAGAAUAAGAGGUCUUUAAAAUAUGUCAUACAGACGUCUUUCAACCAGGUUUUUCCCACUGCGGAUGAAUCACGCAGUUCAGUGUCCAUUAUCCAAUGAGGUUUUGAUUGACAGUGCAGAUUACUUUGGGGCAAGUUUAAUGUAAAUAAGCCUUAAUGACAAAUGAUGAUUGCUGACAUGCUGAAAAAUCUUAUUGUCUAGAAGAGCAAUGGUUAGAAAUAAAAACAAUGUUCUGGAGCACUUAGGGGACUAGUCUAUUGAUGUAUUAAUUUAUUGCAGGCAAGUGUAAUUACUACAGAAGGUUUGAAUAGACUCACAUAAAAACAUCUUAUUUUGGACACCUACAAUGAAUUUAAGGAACUUAAAAAAGUAUACAUUUAAUAUUUGCAGGCCUCUAGUGAUGAAGCACAAAAAGGGUGCCACACUGUGCAAGCAAACAGUAUUGGCAGUUGUUUUACAGUUUUAGUCUGGUAAAGGAUACAUUUAUGCACACAUUAGAUUUUUCUAUGUUAGUCUCUUUUUGAUAGAAAAUGGUUAUCUCCCAUGUAAUCAUAUUAAUUAUGAUCUAAAAUGCAAAAAUGGUCCAAGAUAAAGUGCCUCAUAGGAGUGUUUAUGAAUACAUGCCCUGCCAUUAAGACUCAUUUAGGUUGCAACUGUGGUACAAGCCAGUUUUUCACACCCCUGUACUUAUUUUUUAAGAUCCUUUGCCGUUGGUACAGUCACUCUGCUCCCACCUCAGUGCUGGAGCAGUAGAGCUUGAGGCUGGUUGUCACUCUUCAGACGUCACCAUUGUAAACAUUGG